CAUUUUAAUUUAUCACCCAGAAUCUGGGUGACACGUGACCAGCCGAAACCAGGGUCUUUCCUUCGCCUCGCGCCGUUCUAAGAAAGACCCUGGGAACGAGGUUGCUCGCCGUAUUCAUACGAAACUUUCUACACGAAAGCGCUUGAAUACAAACAGUAUUUUACACAUAUAGCCUUUCAGAGAAUGACGAAAAGUUUAGAAGAUAUUCGACUUUUUCUCGUUUAAAUGUUUGGCGAAGCGGUGAGUAUAAAUAGAUGAUUGUUUCGGUUUGUGUAAUGUUUUGACGGCACUUGACCCCCGGUUCGAAAGGUUAUUUUGUGAGGAUUGCAA